UACGGAGGGUGCAAGCGUUACGCGGAAUGACUGGGCGUAAAGCGCGCGUAGGCGGUUUGUUAAGCGAGAUGGGAAAGCCCUGGGCUCAACCUAGGAACUGCAUUUCGAACUGGCAAGCUAGAGUGUAGAAGAGGGGUGUGGAAUUUCCGGUGUAGCGGUGAAAUGCGUAGAGAUCGGAAGGAACACCAGUGGCGAAGGCGACACCCUGGUCUAACACUGACGCUGAGGUGCGAAAGCGUGGGUAGCAAACAGG
rnacentral:misc_RNA from 1 species